GUAUUUUAAUGAACAUUUAAUAGCUUAUUAUAAUAUCCAUUUGUUAAAAAUCACAUCUCAAAGUUUCAUCCAGUAUUUGUUAAAGUCUAUAUAUUAUAUAGAUCAGAAAUUACCUCAACUUUGCACAUAAUAUAUUAUACAACAUAACUACACACAUAUGUUGACUAUGUUAGUUAACUAACUGUUUACUCUCCAAAGUCUUAUCAUAAUAAAUAAAUAACACUUAGUUAUGUUACAGUUACUUAAAAAUAUAUGUUUACAAGAAUUACAAUUAAAUGUAUUUUUUUGUUUCUUAUAGUCAGCAAAAGAGGGUUUCCAAGUUCCAGAUUAAAUAGGAUAUCAAUGUAUAACAUGGACUACUCAAUUAUGUUUUCUUCAGUUCAUACAUAUAUUUUGUCAUUACCAGUUUCGGAUAGAUGAAAUUACACUACUGAAAAAUGAUUAAUUUUAAUAAUAAUUUUAUCAUUUUUGAAAUGAAUUAUGAUUGUGAGGAAUGAAACAUUAAAUCAUUGCUAAGAUUUGUUAACUCCACCAUUGACGGUCCUCAGUCCGUAU